GCUACGGCCUCUCGCCAGUUGCGCUGCAAAGCAGGUGAAAAGAACACCCGGUGUAACCAAAGAAGAACCACUGUUCCCGGAUGGUAACACCAAGUGGCGCUGUAGCGGAAAACCAAGCAUGGCAAGCAAGAAAACCAAGCAAGGAAAACCAAGCAUGGAUGACUUUUCGGAAACGGCGGCAUUCCUAGCUGACAGGCUGUCAGACUGUCGGAUCGGUGGGACGAGCCUCCGCUGGAUGGAUGGGAAAUGCCAGUCAGCAGACUGGGGCCUUGUGUCACACACGGUGCGGUGCCGCAGCCAGCCUGCAGAGCGUCAGAUAGAGUAAACCUGACGGAUUAUUGAGAUCAACGCCCGGUACAAAAAAACAUUGUCUCUGACGCGUCAUCUCCUAAACAUCAAUGACGGCAUUGAGGGCAGCCUGUGAACAACAUACGUGUACUUGUCGCUAGUUACUUUUCCAGACACCUUGGUUCUCACCUACAUACAUGUAGCUGUUACACCUAUGUCCACAUCACGGCUGGAAGAGCGUCAAAAAGGGCGUCUGGGCGAAAA